CAGUCGCCGCGGGAAUACGGAGGGAGCUAGCGUUGUUCGGAAUUACUGGGCGUAAAGCGCGCGUAAGCGGUUACUCAAGUCAGAGGUGAAAGCCCGGGGCUCAACUCCGGAACUGCCUUUGAAACUAGGUGACUAGAAUCUUGGAGAGGUCAGUGGAAUUCCGAGUGUAGAGGUGAAAUUCGUAGAUAUUCGGAAGAACACCAGUGGCGAAGGCGACUGACUGGACAAGUAUUGACGCUGAGGUGCGAAAGCGUGGGGAGCAGACAGGAUUAGAUACCCGGGUAGUCCCUGUCUCUUAUAC
rnacentral:rRNA from 1 species